AGUGAACGCUGGCGGUAGGCCUAACACAUACAAGUCGAACGGCAGCACAGAGGAGCUUGCUCCUUGGGUGGCGAGUGGCGGACGGGUGAGGAAUACAUCGGAAUCUACUCUGUCGUGGGGGAUAACGUAGGGAAACUUACGCUAAUACCGCAUACGACCUACGGGUGAAAGCAGGGGACCUUCGGGCCUUGCGCGAUUGAAUGAGCCGGUGUCGGAUUAGCUAGUUGGCGGGGUAAAGGCCCACCAAGGCGACGAUCCGUAGCUGGUCUGAGAGGAUGAUAAGCCACACAGGAACUGAGACGCGGUCCAGACUCCUACGGGAGGCAGCAAUGGGGAAUAUUGGACAAUGGGCGCAAGCCUGAUCCAGCCAUACCGCGUGGGUGAAGAAGGCCUUCGGGUUGUAAAGCCCUUUUGUUGGGAAAGAAAUCCAGCUGGCUAAUACCCGGUUGGGAUGACGGUACCCAAAGAAUAAGCACCGGCUAACUUUGUGCCAGCCGCCGCGGUAA
rnacentral:rRNA from 1 species